UGAUUCAGUUUAUAUGGUGUGUUAGUUGAUGCAUUGUGUCAACUUGGCUGAAUCAGCUCGGGCAGAUCUCAGCGUGGGAGCCUCGCCCUGCAGGUGGGCAGGGUCCAGGAAUUGAGAAAGGCAGGAAGUCGCCCUGCCUGUUUUCCUUCCGCCUG